rnacentral:rRNA from 1 species
AUUGAACGCUGGCGGCAGGCCUAACACAUGCAAGUCGAGCGGCAGCGGGAAGUAGGUUUACACUUUGUCCGGCGAGCGGCGGGACGGGUGAGUAAUGUCUGGGAAACUGCCUGAUGGAGGGGGAUAACUACUGGAAACGGUAGCUAAUACCGCAUAACGUCUUCGGACCAAAGUGGGGGACCUUCGGGCCUCACGCCAUCGGAUGUGCCCAGAUGGGAUUAGCUAGUAGGUGGGGUAAUGGCUCACCUAGGCGACGAUCCCUAGCUGGUCUGAGAGGAUGACCAGCCACACUGGAACUGAGACACGGUCCAGACUCCUACGGGAGGCAGCAGUGGGGAAUAUUGCACAAUGGGCGCAAGCCUGAUGCAGCCAUGCCGCGUGUGUGAAGAAGGCCUUCGGGUUGUAAAGCACUUUCAGCGAGGAGGAAGGCAUAAAGGUUAAUAACCUUUGUGAUUGACGUUACUCGCAGAAGAAGCACCGGCUAACUCCGUGCCAGCAGCCGCGGUAAUACGGAGGGUGCAAGCGUUAAUCGGAAUUACUGGGCGUAAAGCGCACGCAGGCGGUUUGUUAAGUCAGAUGUGAAAUCCCCGCGCUUAACGUGGGAACUGCAUCUGAUACUGGCAAGCUUGAGUCUCGUAGAGGGGGGUAGAAUUCCAGGUGUAGCGGUGAAAUGCGUAGAGAUCUGGAGGAAUACCGGUGGCGAAGGCGGCCCCCUGGACGAAGACUGACGCUCAGGUGCGAAAGCGUGGGGAGCAAACAGGAUUAGAUACCCUGGUAGUCCACGCCGUAAACGAUGUCGACUUGGAGGUUGUGCCCUUGAGGCGUGGCUUCCGGAGCUAACGCGUUAAGUCGACCGCCUGGGGAGUACGGCCGCAAGGUUAAAACUCAAAUGAAUUGACGGGGGCCCGCACAAGCGGUGGAGCAUGUGGUUUAAUUCGAUGCAACGCGAAGAACCUUACCUGGUCUUGACAUCCACGGAAGUUUUCAGAGAUGAGAAUGUGCCUUCGGGAACCGUGAGACAGGUGCUGCAUGGCUGUCGUCAGCUCGUGUUGUGAAAUGUUGGGUUAAGUCCCGCAACGAGCGCAACCCUUAUCCUUUGUUGCCAGCGGUCCGGCCGGGAACUCAAAGGAGACUGCCAGUGAUAAACUGGGAGGAAGGUGGGGAUGACGUCAAGUCAUCAUGGCCCUUACGACCAGGGCUACACACGUGCUACAAUGGCGCAUACAAAGAGAAGCGACCUCGCGAGAGCAAGCGGACCUCAUAAAGUGCGUCGUAGUCCGGAUUGGAGUCUGCAACUCGACUCCAUGAAGUCGGAAUCGCUAGUAAUCGUAGAUCAGAAUGCCACGGUGAAUACGUUCCCGGGCCUUGUACACACCGCCCGUCACACCAUGGGAGUGGGUUGCAAAAGAAGUAGGUAGCUUAACCUUCGGGAGGGCGCUUACCACUUUGUGAUUCAUGACUGGGGUGAAGUCGUAACAAGGUAACCGUAGG